rnacentral:piRNA from 1 species
UGAGCACCUCGGUGAUCAAGCGCCAA